GAUGAACGCUGGCGGCGUGCCUAAUACAUGCAAGUCGAGCGAACGGACGAGAAGCUUGCUUCUCUGAUGUUAGCGGCGGACGGGUGAGUAACACGUGGAUAACCUACCUAUAAGACUGGGAUAACUUCGGGAAACCGGAGCUAAUACCGGAUAAUAUUUUGAACCGCAUGGUUCAAAAGUGAAAGACGGUCUUGCUGUCACUUAUAGAUGGAUCCGCGCUGCAUUAGCUAGUUGGUAAGGUAACGGCUUACCAAGACAACGAUGCAUAGCCGACCUGAGAGGGUGAUCGGCCACACUGGAACUGAGACACGGUCCAGACUCCUACGGGAGGCAGCAGUAGGGAAUCUUCCGCAAUGGGCGAAAGCCUGACGGAGCAACGCCGCGUGAGUGAUGAAGGUCUUCGGAUCGUAAAACUCUGUUAUUAGGGAAGAACAUAUGUGUAAGUAACUGUGCACAUCUUGACGGUACCUAAUCAGAAAGCCACGGCUAACUACGU
rnacentral:rRNA from 1 species